rnacentral:rRNA from 1 species
GACGAACGCUGGCGGCGUGCCUAACACAUGCAAGUCGAACGGGGAAGUUAGCAAUAACUUUCUAGUGGCGAACGGGUGAGUAAUGCAUCGGAACGUGCCCAGUAGUGGGGAUAGCCCGGCGAAAGCCGGAUUAAUACCGCAUACGACCUACGGGUGAAAGCGGGGGACCGUAAGGCCUCGCGCUAUUGGAGCGGCCGAUGUCAGAUUAGGUAGUUGGUGGGAUAAAAGCCUACCAAGCCAACGAUCUGUAGCUGGUCUGAGAGGAUGAUCAGCCACACUGGGACUGAGACACGGCCCAGACUCCUACGGGAGGCAGCAGUGGGGAAUUUUGGGCAAUGGACGAAAGUCUGACCCAGCAACGCCGCGUGAGGGAGGAAAUCCUUCGGGAUGUAAACCUCGCAAGCAAGGGAAGAAUGCUUGAGACCUAACACGUCUCAAGAGGGACGGUACCUUGCGUAAGCCACGGCUAACUACGUG